CAGGGGCGGAAAAGGCGGGGCUCUAGCUCGAAGCUGAGCGAGGCCAAAGGCGGGACCGGGAGGAGGGAGGCGGGACUCCGAGCAGACGGGGCGGGGCCAGGGCGAAGGGGCGGGGCCAGGCGCGCGAGCCUCCUCACGCGCCCCGAGCCCGCCGGAAUCUUCCCCGCCGAGGUGGCCUCGCCGGCCGGGGUCUGAGGAGCCGAGCGGCCCCUCCUCGGCGGCGUCCGCUCUCCCUCGGCUCCCGCCCGCCUCCCGGCUCCGACCCUCCGGAGCCCGCGUUCCUUUCCCGCGCGGCCGUCGUGAGGCGUGUGCCCGCGUUCCCGCGUGGGUCCCGGCGAUGUCGGCGUGGGGCUCUUCGCCCGCGGUCCUGGGUCUCGCGUCCCGCCCGCUCCGCCUCCUCCUCCUGUUUCAGCUGGUCGCGGGGCGCUGGGGCCCGGCCGGCGCGGGGGGCGGCGCGCCUGGAGGGUUAGCCGAACCAUCCUUUGUUGCAAAACAUGAAGAUAGUUUGUUAAAGGAUUUAUUUCAAGACUACGAAAGAUGGGUUCGUCCUGUGGAACACCUGAAUGACAAAAUAAAAAUAAAGUUUGGCCUGGCAAUAUCUCAAUUAGUGGAUGUGGAUGAGAAAAAUCAGUUAAUGACAACGAAUGUCUGGUUGAAACAGGAGUGGAGAGAUGUAAAGUUAAGAUGGCGCCCUGGCGACUAUGGCGGAAUAAAAGUUAUACGCGUCCCUUCAGACUCUCUCUGGACCCCAGACAUUGUUUUGUUUGAUAAUGCAGAUGGACGUUUUGAAGGGGCCAGCACGAAAGCGGUCAUCAGGUAUGAUGGCACCGUCACCUGGACUCCACCGGCAAACUACAAAAGUUCUUGCACCAUAGAUGUCACGUUUUUCCCAUUCGAUCUCCAGAACUGCUCCAUGAAAUUUGGUUCUUGGACUUACGAUGGAUCACAGGUUGAUCUAAUUUUAGAGGACCAAGAUGUGGACAAGAGAGAUUUUUUUGACAAUGGAGAAUGGGAGAUUGUGAGUGCAACGGGAAGCAAAGGAAACAGAACGGAUGGCUCCUGCUGGUACCCUUAUGUCACCUACUCAUUUGUAAUUAAGCGUCUGCCUCUCUUUUACACCUUGUUCCUUAUUAUACCCUGUAUCGGGCUCUCGUUUUUAACCGUGCUUGUCUUCUAUCUCCCCUCAAACGAAGGUGAGAAGCUCAGUCUCUGCACGUCAGUCCUGGUCUCUCUGACUGUCUUCCUUCUGGUUAUCGAAGAGAUCAUACCCUCGUCUUCCAAAGUAAUACCUCUGAUUGGAGAGUAUCUGGUGUUCACCAUGAUUUUUGUGACGCUGUCAAUCAUGGUGACUGUCUUCGCUAUCAAUAUCCAUCAUCGUUCUUCCUCAACACACGAUGCAAUGGCACCUUGGGUCCGCAAGGUGUUUCUCCACAAGCUUCCCAAACUGCUGUGCAUGAGGAGUCACGUAGACAGGUACUUCGCUCAGAAAGAGGAAACUGAGGGCGGUAGUAGACCAGAGUCUUCUAGAAACACAUUGGAAGCUGCGCUUGAUUCCAUCCGCUACAUUACAAGACACGUCAUGAAGGAGAAUGACGUCCGUGAGGUGGUUGAAGAUUGGAAAUUCAUAGCACAGGUGCUCGAUCGGAUGUUUCUAUGGACUUUUCUUCUGGUUUCAGUUGUUGGAUCUCUUGGGCUUUUCGUUCCUGUUAUUUAUAAGUGGGCAAAUAUAAUAGUACCAGUUCAUAUUGGAGAUGCAAAUAAGUGAUCCUUCCGUAGUGGUGUCCUAGUAGGAAUUUAGUUACCAAAGGCACCUAUGCCUCUGGCACCCUUAAAAUUAGAAAAUGGAAAUUGUGUUUAAAAUUUGAAGCAAGCUUUGUCAGAUUAACAGUUGCUAACUUUGGUUUAUCUUAAUAGACUGCCCUGAGAAUAUUUUACCUGCAUGACUGAAGUGAUAGCUGACUCAGCAUUUGAGCUAAAAAUAGCAGCAAAAUGUUAUCUGAACUGUACUAGUGAAAACCUAAUGUUGGUGUCCUGACAAACAGUACCAAUUCGUAAUCAACGGUGAAGCUCAUCUUUUGAUUGUAUUGGAAAGUUCCUGUUGUAUUUGAAGACUGAUUUCAGGACUUUUUCUGCAUUUGGUAAAGCAGUCACAGUACUGGAGCCAUAGAGUUGCAGGGCCUCUAGGUGUGGUGCAGUCUCACCGAUUACUGCUCAUUCAGGACCGUAGUGGCACGCGUCACAGGUAAACAGGUGAGAUUCCAUCUCUGAGUGCCCUGAUUCAGCUACGAUCAGGAAUAAAACACUGUUGAAGCUCUGCAUUUUAUCUGGAACUCUUAGCCCUUGAGAGAACAAAUGCCUUAUUUAUAGUAAGUAACCCAUCUAAGGUCAGGUCAACACUCUUUGGAAGGCAGAGGGGAUCCUGUCUCAUUUGUAUUUUAUUGUAGGUACAUGUGUAAUGUCAUUUAAUGAGUGAAAGUCUGGUUUGAUGAGUUUAAAUGCCUGUUAGAUCUCUUAGCACGUAUAUAUCCCUGAUUCUUCUACCUCUGUUACUGUUACUUAAAAUUUCUAUAGGUGAGUAAAUUUUGUAGAAAUCUUCCUUUGACUUACCAAAACAUGAGUCACAGUUGGCUGCGGUUUUGUCAGUUUUAUUUUCGCAAAGCCAAAACAUCAAAAUGACUAGUGAGAAGAUUAAAAUGGUCUCUGCAAACCCUCAUCUCCUACCUAUUCAGAUUCAGAACUGCAGUACUCCAUACUGGAAUACUGUCUUCUUAAUAAUCUGUCUACAGCAGUGGUUCUCAAUCGGGCACAGUUUUGUGCUUGAGGGACCACUUAACUUUUGGAGACAUUUUUGGUUGUUAUAACUGGCAAGGGACCCGGGGGUAUGUUCUUGGCAUCUAGUGGGUAGAGGCCAGAUGGAGGCUAAAAAUCCUACAAUGUCUCUCCAGCACAGAGUUAUCUGGCCACAAAUGCCAAUAGUGCCAAGGUUGAGAAAUGCUGCUCCAAAGGUUUACUGGCAAUGAAUGUGUGACUGGGCAUACCUUUUCAUAGCAUAGUUCCUUAGGAUGAUGCGAGAUAAAGGCUGAGGCGUUCUGUGAAGGAGGCACGGCCCUCAGACUCUUGGAAACCAAUGAUGAACAAGGAGUGCAUGGGAGGAAAUGGUAGUGGGUGGGGCAUUGCUGAAAUGGUACAAAACUUCAAGGAGAUCACAGGCCAAGUGAGAAAACCCUUGGGAAAUCUGUUGUGAUACUGAACCAGAUGGAUUUCCACAUUUGUGAGCAGCAAGUUUUCCUGUCCAAUUAUGCCUCAGCCAGCACAAAGGGGAAACAGUUUUCAUAUUUAGCCCAUAUUUACAUAUUCCUUAGUAGAGUAUAUUACUUCACACUGCAGAACUAUAUUUUGAUGUUUCUCUACCUUACCAAAAAGGCUGGUUAAAUGUUCAGUUAUCUAUAAUAAAUACUCUUGACUUUUUUCUUGCACGAAUCUCUUUUGAUAAAAACCAAGACAAAUGGAUAAAUAAGUAAACCUUGAAAGCUAAAAACAGUGCCAGUAACUUGAUGAUAGAAAGUGUGAGAAAGAGCCUAAAUGUAAGAGUUAAACAGUAAAACUCCUGGAAGAAAACAGGACAGAUUCUUUACAAGACUGGAUUUGGUAGUGAUUUCUCGGAUAUGACACAGAAGAACACAGCUAACAAAAAGUUGAUAAACUGGACUUAAUGAAAAGUUAAAAAUUGUGUGCAUCAGAAGACACUAUCAACAGAGUGAAAAGGCACCCCAGAGAGUGGGAGAAAAUAUUUGCAAAUCUUGUUUCUGAUAGGAGAUUAAUAUCUGGAACAUAUAGAGAACUCCUAAAACUUAACUAAAAACCACAAUCAACCCAAUUGAGAAGUGGAAAAGAAAGGGCGCCUGGGUGGCUCAGUCAGUUGAGCGUCUGACUUCAGCUCAGGUUGUGAUCUCAAUAGCUUGGCUUGUGAGUUUGAGCCCCGCAUUGAGCUCUCUGCUGUCAGCGCAGAGCUGGCUUCAAAUCCUGUCUCCUCCCUCUCUGCCCCUCACCUGCUUGUGCUCUUUAAAAUAAGCUUAAAAAAAAAAAAAAAAAAAAAAGUGGAAAAGGACCUGAACAG